GACGAACCGAGCGAACGUUAUUCGGAAUCACUGGGCUUAAAGGGUGCGUAGGCGGGCUGUCAAGUCUGGGGUGAAAUCCGGCAGCUUAACUGUCGAACUGCCUUAGAUACUGAUGGCCUCGAGGAAGGUAGGGGCAUGCGGAACUGUAGGUGGAGCGGUGAAAUGCGUUGAUAUCUACAGGAACUCCGGUGGCGAAAGCGGCGUGCUGGACCUUUUCUGACGCUGAGGCACGAAAGCUAGGGGAGCAAACGGG
rnacentral:rRNA from 1 species